rnacentral:rRNA from 1 species
GAUGAACGCUGGCGGCGUGCCUAAUACAUGCAAGUCGAGCGAACAGACGAGGAGCUUGCUCCUCUGACGUUAGCGGCGGACGGGUGAGUAACACGUGGAUAACCUACCUAUAAGACUGGGAUAACUUCGGGAAACCGGAGCUAAUACCGGAUAAUAUAUUGAACCGCAUGGUUCAAUAGUGAAAGACGGUUUUGCUGUCACUUCUAGAUGGAUCCGCGCCGCAUUAGCUAGUUGGUAAGGUAACGGCUUACCAAGGCAACGAUGCGUAGCCGACCUGAGAGGGUGAUCGGCCACACUGGAAGUGAGACACGGUCCAGACUCCUACGGGAGGGAGCAGUAGGGAAUGUUCCGCAAUGGGCGAAAACCUGACGGAGCAACGCCGCGUGAGUGAUGAAGGUCUUCGGAUCGUAAAACUCUGUUAUUAGGGAAGAACAAAUGUGUAAGUAACUAUGCACGUCUUGACGGUACCUAAUCAGAAAGCCACGGCUAACUACGUG